rnacentral:rRNA from 1 species
CUACGGGAGGCAGCAGUAGGGAAUCUUCCACAAUGGGCGAAAGCCUGAUGGAGCAACGCCGCGUGAGUGAAGAAGGAUUUCGGUUCGUAAAACUCUGUUGUAAGGGAAGAACAAGUACAGUAGUAACUGGCUGUACCUUGACGGUACCUUAUUAGAAAGCCACGGCUAACUACGUGCCAGCAGCCGCGGUAAUACGUAGGUGGCAAGCGUUGUCCGGAAUUAUUGGGCGUAAAGCGCGCGCAGGUGGUUUCUUAAGUCUGAUGUGAAAGCCCACGGCUCAACCGUGGAGGGUCAUUGGAAACUGGGAGACUUGAGUGCAGAAGAGGAUAGUGGAAUUCCAAGUGUAGCGGUGAAAUGCGUAGAGAUUUGGAGGAACACCAGUGGCGAAGGCGACUAUCUGGUCUGUAACUGACACUGAGGCGCGAAAGCGUGGGGAGCAAACAGGAUUAGAUACCCUGGUAGUCCACGCCGUAAACGAUGAGUGCUAAGUGUUAGGGGGUUUCCGCCCCUUAGUGCUACAGCUAACGCAUUAAGCACUCCGCCUGGGGAGUACGGUCGCAAGACUGAAACUCAAAGGAAUUGACG